CCACCGCUAUGGUUCCUCCCUCUUCUUAUUUAAAUUCCAAUCCUUAUUUCUAAAAACCCAAAAUUUAGAAUACCAUGAACUGUCUCUUACCCGAGAGUUCUGUUGCCACUCCGGUUCUUUUCUGAUUUCAGGCUGAACUUCUAUUGUUCAGGAUGAUCAGUCACCGUCCGCUCACAGGUCCAGAAGACACAUCCAAGGAAUCCCACGUUCUGACACCAAAUUGUCGUGGCAAAAUUUAAAUCAACUCUCGUCAGCAUAAGAGACUCUCACUCUCAGGUAUAACUAAAAAGAAAGCUUUUAUUCUUUGCAAAGAAGGUCAGACAGUCAUACAGCAACACUGAGUUCCUGCAGAGUGAAACCGACCCAGGAAGAGGGCAGUCCUCAACCUUAUAUCCCUUUGCUGCUUCAAGGUUACAAAUUCUUAACAGCUAGUACUUUCCACACAUAACAAGGAACACUCUCUAUGGGCAGUUUCUCACACAUUUAGGACUUAGGUGACCCCCUCAGGUCAUUCUCAGACAUCUGUUUCCCACCCAGGUGUCAUCCCUCUGAACCCACACAGCAAUUCUAAGAAAACACAUGCAUAUAUAGGCAUACAGAAGCAAUGUUAAAUUAAUUUUUCCACCACAUGA